CCUACGGGAGGCAGCAGUGAGGAAUAUUGGUCAAUGGCCGGAAGGCUGAACCAGCCAAGCCGCGUGAAGGACGAAUGUGCCAUGCAUUGUAAACCUCUUUUGUCAAGGGACAAAAUCAGGCACGAGUGCCUGUCCGAGGGUACUUGAAGAAAAAGCAUCGGCUAACUCCGUGCCAGCAGCCGCGGUAAUACGGAGGAUGCGAGCGUUAUCCGGAUUUAUUGGGUUUAAAGGGUGCGUAGGCGGCUUGUGAAGUCAGCGGUAAAAGCGCGGAGCUCAACGCCGUCGAGCCGUUGAAACUGGUGGUCUUGAGUGGGCGAGAGGUAUGCGGAAUGCGUGGUGUAGCGGUGAAAUGCUUAGAUAUUACGCAGAACUCCGAUUGCGAAGGCAGCAUACCGGCGGCGGACUGACGCUGAGGCACGAAAGCGUGGGUAUCGAACAGGAUUAGAUACCCCGGUAGUC
rnacentral:rRNA from 1 species